CUGAAUUUAGAACUGGGCUUAAAACUGGAUUAUUCAACACACACACAGAGAAAAAGCACUGGAUUAUAACAAGGUUUAUUUAUUUCCAAGAGCUGAAAAGUGAAGAAGACUGCAAAAUCCCAGAGAUUAGAUAACCAUUCGGAAAUCUAUAUAUCAAGCAAAAACAAGAAAGUUCAGUAUCCUAACUAUAAUAUCUCUUCAAGCAUAAAGCCUGGAGCUUUAUACAAAGCAAAAUCUGAAGAUCAUCAUAACGGCACAUUUGAAAUAGAAAACAAAAAAGUGCAUUAGCUAUUAUCAGAUUCAUACAGAAACCCAACUAGAACUAUGAAGAAAAUAACCACAUUAUAUUUUGAAGCUGCUUUCUUUAAAACACACACAUAUACACACUACUCUUGUUUUUCAGAAACUGAUAAAAGUAUAAUAACUAAGCAAUGUAAGUUUGAGUAAGAGUGAAAUUGCUAAUUAUCAUGUUGUGACUUUUAAAAGCAAGGAGGAAAAAAUAAUAAUAA